GCGUUCACUUCAGCAGCACAUCUACUAAAAUUGGAAUGAUCCAGAGAAGGUUUGCAUGGCCUGUGCACAAGGAUGACACACAAAAGCUUGGUAUGGAACUUGGACAG
ensembl:snRNA U6 U6 spliceosomal RNA